UUGGAUAACUCCGAGAAAUCGGGGCUAAUACUGGAUAUGACCUUGGCCCGCAUGGGUUGUGGUGGAAAGUUUUUCGGUGGGGGAUGGGCUCGCGGCCUAUCAGUUUGUUGGUGAGGUAGUGGCUCACCAAGGCGAUGACGGGUAGCCGGCCUGAGAGGGCGACCGGCCACACUGGGACUGAGACACGGCCCAG
rnacentral:rRNA from 1 species